GACGAACGCUGGCGGCGUGCUUAACACAUGCAAGUCGAACGGAAAGGCCUCUUUCGGGGGGUACUCGAGUGGCGAACGGGUGAGUAACACGUGAGUAACCUGCCCUUGACUUUGGGAUAACUUCAGGAAACUGGGGCUAAUACCGGAUAGGAGCUCCUGCUGCAUGGUGGGGGUUGGAAAGUUUCGGCGGUUGGGGAUGGACUCGCGGCUUAUCAGCUUGUUGGUGGGGUAGUGGCUUACCAAGGCUUUGACGGGUAGCCGGCCUGAGAGGGUGACCGGCCACAUUGGGACUGAGAUACGGCCCAGACUCCUACGGGAGGCAGCAGUGGGGAAUAUUGCACAAUGGGUGGAAGCCUGAUGCAGCAACGCCGUGUGCGGGAUGACGGCCUGGUGUAACG
rnacentral:rRNA from 1 species